CCUGCUCUCUCAGACAGUAAAGAAUCUGCCUGCAAUGCAGGAAAACUGGGUUCAAUCCCUGGAUCAGGA
rnacentral:tRNA from 1 species